GGCAAAGUUAAUAAGGGCGCACGGUGGAUGCCUUGGCACUAAGAGCCGAUGAAGGACGUGACUAACGACGAUAUUCUAGGGGGAGCAGUAAGUACGCAUUGAUCCCUAGGUCUCCGAAUGGGGAAACCCAGCUGCUACUAGCAGUUAUUCAUGAGUGAAUACAUAGCUCAUGUAAAGGUAACGCAGAGAACUGAAACAUCUAAGUACCUGCAGGAAGAGAAAGUAAAAACGAUUUCGUAAGUAGCGGCGAGCGAACGCGAAGAAGGGCAAACCAAGAAGCUUGCUUCUUGGGGUUGUAGGACUGCAACGUGGACUUAAGCAUUAUAGUCGAAUAACCUGGGAAGGUUAAUCAAAGAGGGUAAUAAUCCCGUAGACGAAAUAGCGCUUAUACCUAGCAGUAUCCUGAGUAGGGCUGGACACGCGAAAUCCAGUUUGAAUCCGGGAGGACCAUCUCCCAACCCUAAAUACUCCUUAGUGACCGAUAGUGAACCAGUACCGUGAGGGAAAGGUGAAAAGAACCCCGAGAGGGGAGUGAAAUAGCACCUGAAACCGUGUGCCUACAAGAAGUUCGAGCCCGUUAAUGGGUGAGAGCGUGCCUUUUGUAGAAUGAACCGGCGAGUUACGUUAUGAUGCGAGGUUAAGUUGAAGAGACGGAGCCGUAGGGAAACCGAGUCUGAAUAGGGCGACUUAGUAUCAUGAUGUAGACCCGAAACCUAGUGACCUAUCCAUGAGCAGGGUGAAGGUGUGGUAAGACGCACUGGAGGCCCGAACCAGGACACGUUGAAAAGUGUUUGGAUGACUUGUGGAUAGCGGAGAAAUUCCAAACGAACUGGGAGAUAGCUGGUUCUCUCCGAAAUAGCUUUAGGGCUAGCGUCGAAAUGUAAGUGUAUUGGAGGUAGAGCACUGUUUGGGUGAGGGGUCCGUCUAGGAUUACCAAUCUCAGAUAAACUCCGAAUGCUAAUACACAUGUUCGGCAGUCAGACUGCGAGUGCUAAGAUCCGUAGUCGAAAGGGAAACAGCCCAGACCAACAGCUAAGGUCCCAAAAUAUAUGUUAAGUGGAAAAGGAUGUGGGGUUGCACAGACAACUA
rnacentral:ncRNA from 2 species